CAACCAUUUCCAAAAAAGUUUCCUUUCUCUGAAUUUGUGCCAAAAGUUUACAACCAAAUUAAAGAAUUUAUCUACGCUUGUCUGAAGUUUUCAGAAGAUCUUCAUCUAAGCUCAACUGAAGUUGAUGACAUGAUUCGUAAAUCAACAAACCUGUUGCUAACCAGGACUCUGAGCAACUCUCUGCAGAAUGUCAUUAAAAGGAAGAAUAUUGGGCUUACUGAGGAUGCUAGACAUGCAGCUGAAGAAGAGAUUUAUACCAACUUAAACCAGAAGAUUGACCAGUUCCUACAGCUGGCAGACUAUGACUGGAUGACCGGAGAUUUGGGCAACAAAGCUAGUGAUUACCUGGUAGACCUCAUUGCCUUUCUUCGUAGCACCUUUGCUGUAUUCACACACCUUCCUGGAAAGGUGGCCCAGACAGCGUGUAUGUCAGCUUGCAAGCAUUUAGCCACAUCCUUGAUGCA
rnacentral:sRNA from 1 species